rnacentral:rRNA from 1 species
UUAGCAUAUCAAUAAGCGGAGGAAAAGAAACCAACCGGGAUUGCCUCAGUAACGGCGAGUGAAGCGGCAAGAGCUCAAAUUUGAAAGCUGGCCCCUCCGGGGUCCGCGUUGUAAUUUGCAGAGGAUGCUUCGGGAGCGGCCCCCAUCUAAGUGCCCUGGAACGGGCCGUCAUAGAGGGUGAGAAUCCCGUCUGGGAUGGGGUGCCCGCGCCCGUGUGAAGCUCCUUCGACGAGUCGAGUUGUUUGGGAAUGCAGCUCUAAAUGGGUGGUAAAUUUCAUCUAAAGCUAAAUAUUGGCCGGAGACCGAUAGCGCACAAGUAGAGUGAUCGAAAGAUGAAAAGCACUUUGAAAAGAGAGUUAAACAGCACGUGAAAUUGUUGAAAGGGAAGCGCUUGCGACCAGACUCGCCCGCGGGGUUCAGCCGGCACUCGUGCCGGUGUACUUCCCCGCGGGCGGGCCAGCGUCGGUUUGGGCGGCCGGUCAAAGGCCCUCGGAAUGUAACGCCCCCCGGGGCGUCUUAUAGCCGAGGGUGCCAUGCGGCCAGCCCGGACCGAGGAACGCGCUCCGGCUCGGACGCUGGCAUAAUGGUCGUAAGCGACCCGUCUUGAAACACGGACCAAGGAGUCUAACAUCUACGCGAGUGUUCGGGUGUCAAACCCGUACGCGCAGUGAAAGCGAACGGAGGUGGGAACCCCCCCGGGGGCGCACCAUCGACCGAUCCUGAUGUCUUCGGAUGGAUUUGAGUAGGAGCGUAGCUGUUGGGACCCGAAAGAUGGUGAACUAUGCCUGAAUAGGGCGAAGCCAGAGGAAACUCUGGUGGAGGCUCGCAGCGGUUCUGACGUGCAAAUCGAUCGUCAAAUUUGGGUAUAGGGGCGAAAGACUAAUCGAACCAUCUAGUAGCUGGUUCCUGCGA